rnacentral:rRNA from 1 species
GAUGAACGCUGGCGGCGUGCCUAAUACAUGCAAGUCGAGCGAACAGACGAGGAGCUUGCUCCUCUGACGUUAGCGGCGGACGGGUGAGUAACACGUGGAUAACCUACCUAUAAGACUGGGAUAACUUCGGGAAACCGGAGCUAAUACCGGAUAAUAUAUUGAACCGCAUGGUUCAAUAGUGAAAGACGGUUUUGCUGUCACUUAUAGAUGGAUCCGCGCCGCAUUAGCUAGUUGGUAAGGUAACGGCUUACCAAGGCAACGAUGCGUAGCCGACCUGAGAGGGUGAUCGGCCACACUGGAACUGAGACACGGUCCAGACUCCUACGGGAGGCAGCAGUAGGGAAUCGUCCGCAAUGGGCGAAAGCCUGACGGAGCAACGCCGCGUGAGUGAUGAAGGUCUUCGGAUCGUAAAACUCUGUUAUUAGGGAAGAACAAAUGUGUAAGUAACUAUGCACGUCUUGAGGGUACCUAAUCAGAAAGCCACGGCUAACUACGUG